UACGUAGGGUGCAAGCGUUGUUCGGAAUUACUGGGCGUAAAGCGCACGUAGGCGGGUCGUUUAAGUCAGGGGUGAAAUCCCAGAGCUCAACUCUGGAACUGCCUUUGAUACUGGCGACCUAGAGUUCGGAAGAGGUUAUGGAAUUCCCAGUGUAGAGGGUGAAAAUUUCGUAGAUAUUGGGAAGAACACCAGUGGCGAAAGGCGGCUAACUGGGUCCGAUACUGACGCUUGAGGUGCGAAAAG
rnacentral:rRNA from 1 species